rnacentral:tRNA from 1 species
GGACCUAUAGCUCAGUCGGUCAGAGCAGCAGACUCAUAAUCUGAAGGUCGGGGGUUCAAGGCCCUCUAGGUCCA